ACUUGAGAAGCUCUUAUCAAAGAAUGCAUGACUUCCUAAUUAUGUAAAAUAUUUUCAACCAUGUCAUGACUAGGUACAAAGGCCUCUUGCUCAAUGGACACUAAAAUGGGAAGAAUGGGCUUAAUCUAUUCACCAAAAUUCUAGCCACCAAUUUGUAAACAAAAUUACACACAUUGAUAGGUUUGUAGUCAUUGACAUAUGUUGGACUAUUUUUCUUAAGAAAUAAAAUAAUAAAGAUUUUUUUAGAAAUAUGGCAUGGUCGCA
rnacentral:lncRNA from 1 species